rnacentral:rRNA from 1 species
GCAGUCCAAGUAUUGAGGGUGAUGCCUGCCCAGUGACACUGUUUAACGGCCGCGGUAUCCUAACCGUGCGAAGGUAGCGCAAUCAAUUGUCCCAUAAAUCGAGACUUGUAUGAAUGGCUAAACGAGGUCCUAACUGUCUCUUACAGACAAUCAGUGAAAUUGAUCUCCCUGUGCAAAAGCAGGAAUGUACACAUAAGACGAGAAGACCCUGUGGAACUUAAAAAUCAACGGCCACUGCACACAAUAUCAAACCUAUCAGGCUUACCAUAAUUAAAACAUUGGCUCGCAUUUUUUGGUUGGGGCGACCUUGGAGAAAAACAGACCCUCCAAAAAUAAGACCACCCGUCUUAACCAAGAGCAACACCUCGACGUACUAACAGUAACCAGACCCAAUAUAAUUGAUCAAUGAACCAAGCUACCCCAGGGAUAACAGCGCAAUCUCCUUCAAGAGCCCAUAUCGACAAGGAGGUUUACGACCUCGAUGUUGGAUCAGGACACCCUAAUGGUGCAGCCGCUAUUAAGGGUUCGUUUGUUC